rnacentral:rRNA from 1 species
UACGUAGGGCCCGAGCGUUGUCCGGAAUUAUUGGGCGUAAAGAGCUCGUAGGCGGUUCGUCGCGUCGGCUGUGAAAACCCGGAGCUCAACUCCGGGCCUGCAGUCGAUACGGGCGGACUUGAGUGUUGCAGGGGAGACUGGAAUUCCUGGUGUAGCGGUGAAAUGCGCAGAUAUCUGGAGGAAUACCGGUGGCGAAGGCGGCAUCCUGGACCGACAUUGACGCUGAUGAGCGAAAGCUAGGGGAGCAAACGGG